CAGUCUUUCUGGACGCGCCACGUGGCAGAGAAAUCAAAUGCGCAUCGUUUCAUUUAAGUUAUUAUACAUAUAGGUGGGCUUCGUCUUCUAUUCAUGACUUAUUUUUGCACAAUUAACCCAGCCCAUCUAGCAGCUCUAAAUGUUAAUGUAACGACGCGUUUUGAUAUUAGGGUCGAAACAGUUUCCAUCUCUGCCGUUUUUGAUCGAGUAACAAUCUGACUUCUUAUAACGUUCCCAAGAGCUACCAGUUACAGAUUCAUCCUCUUAAAAUCCUUAAAUCCGUCAUCCAUGAUCUACUUUGAAUGCGAGCUUCACUUAUGCAUGGCGGUGGAACUGCGCCUAUAAAAAGGGUAACCUGGAUGCUUGGCGAAGAUGGGUUAUAGAAGCAUUGUCUCUUCUGGACAGAGAUCAUUGAAGCCUUGCCAGCAGACUUCUUCUUCCAGUUAUUGGAAAAGCUGAUCUUAAGCAUACAGGUUGUUCAGUUGAUGAUAUCGUGCACGAUAUGGAUUCUUCCAUAUCCCCGCUGAUAUCGAAAGUAAAUUUAUUUUCUCAGGAAUUAUAACAAACUUAUGAGGGCUUAUCCUCUUAUCGCUUCUCUGUGAAAUGGACGGACAGAACUCGAUCAUUUUUAUUUUGGUGGUGCUAAUAUGAGAGGGUGGCCUGAGAAGAUGAGCGAUGAUGAGCUUAAGAUCAUGAGGAAUGCUGGUGUUGUGCUUCAAAGUCAAAGAGAGAUCACAGUCUCCAUCAACAUUCAAGUUGCUAAGUUCGUCUUCUCUACAUCCCUUUCUCCUCCACUCUUCGUUGAGAUUCCAAUUUUAUACAUCUCCAGCUUUAAACCACACAGCCUGCUACAAAACAGUGAUUCUCAGGUUACAUGUAUGGCAACGAGUAGAAAAGGAUUAACGAAUGAUCAUAGUACUUUCGGGUUGGAUCUUCCGUUCAAAAUGCCCAUCCCUGUUCUCCGGAAAAUUGUAUAAAGACGAGUAUUUUCCAAAAACACCAAUGAGUUGCGAAAGAAGAAUACGAAAUGGAUUCAAAGCUUCAAUAGAGAGAGGUGAUUCCGGCCAUGUAGAUGUAAAAAAUUGAUCCAAACCUCCUCUUUUGUGAAGAUUAUGGAUCGAUUUUGCUCAAGCUCAUGUUUUUAGAUUUUGGUUUGUUAUUAUGAUUUUGAUGGGCUGAAUAUGAUUUAGUUCAGCUGUUUCACGAGUGGUGAAUUAAAUGGAUUUUCAGAUCCGACGUUAAGUGUUUUUGUUUCUUUGUAUUUAGAAGAAAACAGGAACUGAAAUGCUUUUGCAUUGAGAACGUUUGUAGUUUUUUGGGUUUUGUAAAUUUACAGGAGUAAUCAUUGGUGGUGGUGUAUAACA